UCUGGUUGAUCCUGCCGGACCUCACUGCUAUCGGGGUGAGGCUAAGCCAUGCAAGUCGGAGGCUCAUGGCCACCUGUGGGCCUGGCGUACGGCUCAGUAACACGUGGCCAACCUGCCCCAAGGAGGGGGAUAACCCCGGGAAACUGGGGCAUAAACCCCCAUAGACGACAGGCUCUGGAAUGACCUGUCGCCGAAAGUGUCUCGCGGAGAUGCUCUGCGAGACAGCCUUGGGAUGGGGCUGCGGCCUAUCAGGUUGUUGGUGGGGUAACGGCCCACCAAGCCUAUAACGGGUACGGGCCCUGAGAGGGGGAGCCCGGAGAUGGACUCUGAGACAAGAGUCCAGGCCCUACGGGGCGCAGCAGGCGCGAAAACUCCGCAAUGCGCUAACGCGUGACGGGGUCACCCCGAGUGCCACCUUCGUGGUGGCUUUUGCGCGGUCUAAAAAGCCGCGCGAAUAAGCGGGGGGCAAGACGGGUGUCAGCCGCCGCGGUAAUACCCGCUCCGCGAGUGGUGAGGACUAUUACUGGGCUUAAAGCGUCCGUAGCCGGCUGGGUGUGUCCUCCGUUAAAUCCACAGGCCUAACCUGUGGGCCGCAGAGGAUACUACCUGGCUUGGGGGUGGGAGAGGGCGGCGGUAUUCCCGGGGUAGGGGUAAAAUCCACUGUAUCCCGGGAGGACCACCAGUGGCGAAGGCGGCCGCCCAGAACACGCCCGACGGUGAGGGACGAAAGCUGGGGGAGCAAACGGGAUUAGAUACCCCGGUAGUCCCAGCCGUAAACGAUGCGGGCUAGGUGUCGGGUUGGCUACGGGCCAGCCCGGUGCCGAAGGGAAACCAUUAAGCCCGCCGCCUGGGGAGUACGGCCGCAAGGNUGAAACUUAAAGGAAUUGGCGGGGGAGCACCACAAGGGGUGGACGUUGCGGCUUAAUUGGAGUCAACGCCGGAAACCUUACCGGGGGCGACAGCAGGAUGAAGGCCAGGUUGAAGGCCUUGCCGGACGAGCUGAGAGGAGGUGCAUGGCCGUCGCCAGUCUGCAGCCCCCAUGUAGUAUUAGCUAUGGGGUUGUGGGGCGAGUGCGUGCCGUGAGGUGUCCUGUUAAUUCAGGCAACGGACGAGACCCGCGCCCCCAGUUGCCAUCAGGCCGUUAGGCGCUGGGCACUCUGGGGGGACUGCCCCGGAAACGGGGAGGAAGGAGCGGGCCACGGCAGGUCAGUAUGCCCCGAAUCCCCCGGGCCGCACGCGACGUUCAAUGGUGGGGACAGUGGGCUGCGACCCCGAAAGGGGAAGCCAAUCCCUAAACCCCACCUCAGUUGGGAUCGAGGGUUGCAACUCGCCCUCGUGAACGCGGAAUCCCUAGUAACCGCCCGUUACCACCGGGCGGUGAAUACGUCCCCGCUCCUUGCACACACCGCCCGUC
rnacentral:rRNA from 1 species